rnacentral:rRNA from 1 species
CGAUGUUAGAGCAUAUUGGUUCUGCAUUGGAAUGAGUACAAUUUAAAUCCCUUAACGAGGAACAAUUGGAGGGCAAGUCUGGUGCCAGCAGCCGCGGUAAUUCCAGCUCCAAUAGCGUAUAUUAAAGUUGUUGCAGUUAAAAAGCUCGUAGUUGAAUUUCGGGUCUAGCAAGUUGGUCUGCUUAUGGCGGUACUGGCAUUGUUGGACCUUACCUUCUGGGGAACCAAGGUGCUCUUCACUGAGUGCUUUGGGGAACCAGAACCUUUACCUUGAAAAAAUUAAAGUGUUUAAGGCAGGCUUAUGCUUGAAUACAUUAGCAUGGAAUAAUAGAAUAGGACUUUGGUUCUAUUUUGUUGGUUUCUAGGACCAGAGUAAUGAUUAAUAGGGAUAGUUGGGGGCAUUAGUAUUGAGCAGCUAGAGG